GCCCCGAGUGUCCAGAACACGGAUUUUUAAAGACAGAUCUUAAAAGUUGAGGAACCUCCCUCAGCAGCUGCAGGACUUCAAAGAGUCCCUUCUAAUGAUUGAUGUUGCUGACUGAACCAGCAUCGCCUUUAUUCCUUAGCAUUGCAAAGCCUGGUGAACUCUGAUCCUACCUUCCCCCCAGUCUCCUCUCCCCAGAAUACUGUGUUUUCCCAACCGUUUUAAAAAAUAAAAUAAAACAUAA